rnacentral:tRNA from 1 species
GCCGGGGUGGCUCAGUGGUUGAGCAUCUACCUAUAAACCAGAAGGUCUCGGUUUGAUUCCCGGUCAGGGCA